rnacentral:rRNA from 1 species
AGUGAACGCUGGCGGUAGGCCUAACACAUGCAAGUCGAACGGCAGCACAGGAGAGCUUGCUCUCUGGGUGGCGAGUGGCGGACGGGUGAGGAAUACAUCGGAAUCUACUCUGUCGUGGGGGAUAACGUAGGGAAACUUACGCUAAUACCGCAUACGACCUACGGGUGAAAGCAGGGGACCUUCGGGCCUUGCGCGAUUGAAUGAGCCGAUGUCGGAUUAGCUAGUUGGCGGGGUAAAGGCCCACCAAGGCGACGAUCCGUAGCUGGUCUGAGAGGAUGAUCAGCCACACUGGAACUGAGACACGGUCCAGACUCCCACCGGAGGCAGAAGUGGGGAAUAUUGGACAAUGGGUGCAAGCCUGAUACAGCCAUACCGCGUGGGUGAAGAAGGCCGUCGGGUUGUAAAGCCCUUUUGUUGGGAACGAAAUCCAGCUGGCUAAUACCCGGUUGGGAUGACGGUACCCAAAGAAUAAGCACCGGCUAACUUCGUGCCAGCCGCCGCCGUAA